CCUACGGGCGGCUGCAGUGAGGAAUAUUGGUCAAUGGACGAGAGUCUGAACCAGCCAAGUAGCGUGAAGGAUGACUGCCCUAUGGGUUGUAAACUUCUUUUAUAUGGGAAUAAAAUGUUCCACGUGUGGGAUUUUGUAUGUACCAUAUGAAUAAGGAUCGGCUAACUCCGUGCCAGCAGCCGCGGUAAUACGGAGGAUCCGAGCGUUAUCCGGAUUUAUUGGGUUUAAAGGGAGCGUAGGUGGAUUGUUAAGUCAGUUGUGAAAGUUUGCGGCUCAACCGUAAAAUUGCAGUUGAAACUGGCAGUCUUGAGUACAGUGGAGGUGGGCGGAAUUCAUGGUGUAGCGGUGAAAUGCUUAGAUAUCACGAAGAACUCCGAUUGCGAAGGCAGUUCACUGGACUGCAACUGACACUGAGGCUCGAAAGUGUGGGUAUCAAACAGGAUUAGAUACCCGAGUAGUC
rnacentral:rRNA from 1 species